CAGGUAGAAAUGAGCGCAGCCUGAUCCAGCCAUGCCGCGUGCAGGAUGAAGGCCUUCGGGUUGUAAACUGCUUUUGUACGGAACGAAACGGCCUUUUCUAAUAAAGAGGGCUAAUGACGGUACCGUAAGAAUAAGCACCGGCUAACUACGUGCCAGCAGCCGCGGUAAUACGUAGGGUGCAAGCGUUAAUCGGAAUUACUGGGCGUAAAGCGUGCGCAGGCGGUAAUGUAAGACAGUUGUGAAAUCCCCGGGCUCAACCUGGGAACUGCAUCUGUGACUGCAUUGCUGGAGUACGGCAGAGGGGGAUGGAAUUCCGCGUGUAGCAGUGAAAUGCGUAGAUAUGCGGAGGAACACCGAUGGCGAAGGCAAUCCCCUGGGCCUGUACUGACGCUCAUGCACGAAAGCGUGGGGAGCAAACAGGAUUAGAUACCCUGGUAGUCCACGCCCUAAACGAUGUCAACUGGUUGUUGGGAAUUCACUUUCUCAGUAACGAAGCUAACGCGUGAAGUUGACCGCCUGGGGAGUACGGCCGCAAGGUU
rnacentral:rRNA from 1 species